rnacentral:rRNA from 1 species
UAAUACGGAGGGUGCAAGCGUUGUCCGGAUUCAUUGGGUUUAAAGGGUGCGUAGGCGGGACAUUAAGUCCGAGGUGAAAGACGGUUGCUCAACAAUCGCAGUGCCUUGGAUACUGGUGUUCUUGGGUGAAGUUGAGGUGGGCGGAAUUCAAGGUGUAGCGGUGAAAUGCAUAGAUACCUUGAAGAACUCCGAUUGCGAAGGCAGCCCACUGGACUUCUACCGACGCUGAGGCACGAAAGCGUGGGGAUCAAACAGGAUUAGAUACCCUGGUAGUCCACGCCGUAAACGAUGAUUACUCGCUGUGGGGGCGUAGGCUUCCGCGGCUUAGCGAAAGCGUUAAGUAAUCCACCUGGGGAGUACGCUCGCAAGGGUG